rnacentral:rRNA from 1 species
UACGUAGGGUCCGAACGUUGUUCGGAAUUACUGGGCGUAAAGCGCGUGUAGGCGGUCUCGUAAGUCGGGUGUGAAAGCCCUGGGCUCAACCCAGGAAGUGCACUCGAAACUGCGAGGCUAGAGUACUGGAGAGGUUGGUGGAAUUCUCGGUGUAGAGGUGAAAUUCGUAGAUAUCGAGAGGAACACCGGUGGCGAAGGCGGCCAACUGGACAGAUACUGACGCUGAGACUCGAAAGCGUGGGGAGCAAACAGG